GGAAUUUCAGACAUUUGUCAUGAAAUUUCCCUCUGUCAUCCUGCUCUGUUAAACUUAGGGUUUAAGUGAACCAGGUAGUAAACAUUCAGCUCGCUCUGUUAAACAUGGGGUGAGUUUGAGUGAACCAGGUAGUAAAUAUUCAGCCUGCUUUGUUAAACAUGGGGUUUGAUUGAACCAGUUAGUAAACAUUCAGCCUGCCCUGUUAAACAGGGGUUUACAUGAACCAGGUAGUAAACAUUCAGCCUGCCCUGUUAAACAGGGGUUUACAUGAACCAGAUUGUAAACAUUCAGCCUGCUAUGUUCAACAUGGGGGUUACGGGAACCAGGUAGUAAACAUUUAGCCUGCUCUGUUAAUCUUGGGGUUUAAGUGAACCGGGUAGUAAACAUUCAGCCUGCUAUGUAAGUGAACCAGGUAGUAAACAUUCAGCCUGCUCUAAUAAACAUGGGAUUUUAUCGAACCAGGCAGUAAACAUUCAGCCUGCUCUGGUAAACAUGGGGUUAACAUGAACCAGGUAGUAAACAUUCAGCUUGCUCUGUUAAACAUGAGGUUUAAGUGAACCAGGUAGUAAACAUUCAGCCUGCUCUGGUAAACAUGGGUUUUAAGUGAACCAGGUAGUAAACAUUCAGCCUGCUCUAGUAAACAUGGGUUUUAAGUGAACCAGGUAGUAAACAUUCAGCCUGAAGGUUUAAA